UACGUAGGGGGCAAGCGUUGUCCGGAAUCAUUGGGCGUAAAGAGCGUGUAGGCGGCUCGGUAAGUCCGCUGUGAAAGUCCAGGGCUCAACCCUGGAAUGCCGGUGGAAACUGUCGAGCUAGAGUCCGGAAGAGGCGAGUGGAAUUCCUGGUGUAGCGGUGAAAAUGCGCAGAUAGUCAGGAGGAACACCAAUGGCGAAGGCAGCUCGCUGGGACGGUACUGACGCUGAGACGCGAAAGCGUGGGGAGCAAACAGG
rnacentral:rRNA from 1 species